GUGGACACUUGGAACACAGGACCUCCGAAGGACGGCCACUCCCAGGGCCUGACCCGAGCCUGAUGACGCCCAGACAGCAGGAACGUGCGUGCAACCCACGGCAACCCAGCUCUUGCCAGCCCCGGAGGCAGACGCAACACGCAACACACGUCUGCUACAGAAACGUCGGAGAGUCGCGGGAACGACCAUCCGGGCUGUGCAGGCUGCGCACCGUGGGGCGCGUGCGGGGUGCGGCUGGUGGGGCCCGGCCGCCAGGUAUGUGCACAGGGUUAAAUCCCCGGCUGGCGUCCAAAGCCUGUUUCCUGACAGUAAUGACCUUCCUUCCUGCGGCUCCCCCGCUGCUCGCAGGCUGUCCUUGCUGUUUCCACGCGUCUGGUUCGAGAGCGAUUACUGUGCCGCCGGGUCUGAGAACACGGUGUUUCCUGGCCUCGCCACCCUCCCAGCGGGGGACACAGCCACCGGCCUGGCAGAGGCCCGGCUCCCAAGCCUGGGCAGUGGGGCCUGGGGCCUGAGUGUGCAGACCUGGGGGCAUGAGGGCUGGAGUUCGGAGGCCCCACUCACGGCGUCCCCACGCAGGGACCAGUCCUGGCUCUCACGCAGCACCCUGAGAUGCAGGGAGGGGAGCCAGGUGGCAGGGCCGGCUUGCCUGCUGGGGUCCCUGGCCUGCCCAUCACCCCCCACAGGACGAGGCCAGGGGCAGAGCAGUUCAUCGGCCUCAACACCCACCUACCGCAGCCAGGAGUACCUCAGGCUGCUGCCCGCAGGUGUAGACACGGAGGUUGCGGGCCAACACUCCAGCUACACAGGGAGCCUUUCUAGAAAUUGUCACCAACUCGGGGCCUCACCGCCUCAGCCACUUAUGCAAGUAGCUCCAGAACUGUCAUGUCAAAGGACCCCUACUAACCAUGGUCCCGCUGCCAGCAGAGCUGUCCAGUGGCAGGACAUCACCCAAGAGCCACCAGGCCUGAGUCUGAAUCUAACCUCUGCUCCUCGUCCCCCGUGGCCUCCAAGUGGCCACCUACGUGCUCUUGUUCCAACUCAACUUUCUCGCCUCCUGAGUCUCACUCUUGUACCCUGUAGGGGUUGGGGGGAGCCAGAGACCCCACUGCCAGCACCUUCGGUUUUUGCCUGUACCAGGAUCUCCAGGGACAGGGAACUCACUACCUGUCAGCACCUACCCCUCCUUUGUCAAGCAAUUUUCAGUAUAGGUCCUUCUGCACGUGGGGGUGAGGUCACCUUCCCCAUGACCACACCCCCCAACACACAUAUACACACAGCCAGGUCAAGUUCUGGCUUCUAGGGCCCGACCCUCUCCCGCAGGAUGGAUCCAGGGUCAAGCGCCCCUCUCCAACCCCAUACACUUUACCCCACACAAAAAGCACGAGCCCACGAGAGGCAGCCCACCCUCUCUCAGGCCCCACACGCAUACCCAGGACAUCCGCAGACUUCUUCCGCUCCACGAUCUGGAUGUCUCGGGCGCCGGCCGGGAUGUGGGUCACCAGAGAGUAACCUGGGGGAGAUAAUAAGAUAGUGAGCGGCCAGUCGGCUGUGGCCACCACCUCUCUGUUGGGAAGUCGUUACCCUCCUGUGGAUCCUGGUUGGCGGGGGGGGGGACUGAGGCAUCCCCCAACCCCCACCUCCCAACAGCUACACCUGAGCUCAAGACGUGAGUCCACGGCCCUGUGGAAAAAGCCCCAUGCGUCUGGAGGGCUGGGCUGCUGCCCAGGGACGCACCCAGGCUAACCUGGUUCCAUGACCCUCUCCCACCAAGGUCAUGGGUGACGCUCAUCAGCACCUGACCCCUACUCCGGAGGGACACCGUUGGCCACAGGGACCUUAAGUCUGCUAGGGUCAAGCGGACUUGGGUCCUUCUCUGCCUCUGCCACGUAUCACCGAGGUGGUCCUGAGCCCUCGGGCCUCACUCAGGGUCCUCACCUGGGCACAGGGACGACUGCCCCCCCUCUAGGCAAUGUGGGGAGGUUUCCGCAUGGCACGGAGCCUCCCUCCUGGCAAUGGCACAGUCACUACUAUUAUUGUUUUAAAACCUGUAUUAUCACAACAUCAUGAGGAUUUUAUCAAACACUGGCUGCAUUGGAAGAUGUGGGUGAGGAAGUACAGCUGGGGGCCUGUCCCGAAAGGCGGGGAGGUAGCCAUGGGGACCUCCACAGAGACGCCCAACAAAGGCAUCAAGGGUCUAGGGGGCAGCCCUCUGACGAAGGGACAGAUGCUACCAGCAGCAGGUGGUCUGAGGAGGAGGAAGAGAGGUUUUAAAAGCCCUAAGAUGGAAAAGCCUCCAGGAGAGAAUGGUGACAGUGCUUUCUGAAAUCAGGUUUGCUGGGGGACGGUGGGGGUGGGGGGACACCCAUUGCAGAGUCCUUGGGCGCCUGCCCAUGGGUGAGCAGCUCUACAGGCCAGCUCUGCCUGCUGCGUUGCAGGUCCCCAAAGGAAGGCUCUGAGCUCGUCGUCCCAGCCAGAGUGUGCUAAGAGGCUCUGUGGGGGUCUGGGGGGCAUUCACGUGGGGUGUCAGCCCCCCACAGUGGCAGAACUUAGGCUCCCAGCGUGCCAGGCUGGGUGCAGAGGGGGGCGGAGGGGAGGUGGGGAGAGAGGUGCAUGGGGCCCGCCUGCCUCCACGGUGGUGUCUCUGCCGCACACCCGCAGUACAAGUAGCAGCCAAGCAGGCAGGAAAUGAGGACUCGGCAUAACUGUCGUUUAUCUACGUGCAGGUUUAAAUACAUCCAUGUUUAAAUUCA